UAAAAGUCGUAACAAGGUUUCCGUAGGUGAACCUGCGGAAGGAUCAUUACUGAAUAACUGGAGUGUUGUAGCUGGCUUUUCGGAGCAUGUGCACGCACUUCAAAUUCAUCUUUAACCACCUGUGCACUUUUGUAGACUGUGAUAACCCUCAAUGGUUUUUCCGUUGGAUUGAAGGACUUGCGUCUAGCUGUCUUUCGAUUUCACAGUCUAUGUCUCAUCUACUAUAAAAAGUCUAGAAUGUAACUUGUGGGUCUUUUGACCUAUAAAACUUAUACAACUUUCAACAACGGAUCUCUUGGCUCUCGCAUCGAUGAAGAACGCAGCGAAAUGCGAUAAGUAAUGUGAAUUGCAGAAUUCAGUGAAUCAUCGAAUCUUUGAACGCACCUUGCACUCCUUGGUAUUCCGAGGAGUAUGCCUGUUUGAGUGUCAUUAAAUUCUCAAACCUCUUUGACUUUAUUGACAAAGAGGCUUUGGAUGUGGGAGUUGCUGGCUUUUACGAGUCAGCUCUCCUUAAAUACAUUAGUGGUUACUGUUCUCCACUUCCUGGUGUGAUAAUAUCUACGCCUAGUGGUGAUGUUAAGUGUAGCUGCUUUCUAACCGUCCAUGCAAUGUGGACAACUUGAACCCUUUGACCUCAAAUCAGGUAGGACUACCCGCUGAACUUAAGCAUAUCAAUAAGCGGAGGAAAAGAAACUAACAAGGAUUCCCCUAGUAACUGCGAGUGAAGCGGGAAAAGCUCAAAUUUAAAAUCUGGCGGUUCUUGCAGCCGUCCGAGUUGUAAUUUAGAGAAGUGUUAUCCGCGCUGGACCG
rnacentral:rRNA from 1 species